GUGGAUACAGUGUUGGUAUAAAUAGCCGGAUCAUUUUAUCACUGAUCAUAUCGUCAGUUUUAGUGAACUGACUCUCAGGUUGGGAACAAUGUUUGCAAAAGGAGUCAUCAUCCUUCUCUGCGUCCUAGUGGCCAUUUCGGAUGGAUUAAGAGUGCCUGAUUGCAGGUUUACGAUGUGCACAAGGUCACAUCGUGCUGUGUGUGGAACCGAUGGGGUAACAUACGACAAUGAAUGCUCUCUGUGUGCUAAGAUCCUGGCAUCAUUUACAAAAAUCUUAAUCCUGAAAGAUGGCCGGUGUUAAAUACACAUCUGCAGGAGUGACACAGGAAUGGCACCAUAAUUCAGCUUGACAGACCUUUAGUCAGCUACUCAUGUCUCAUUCAUCAUGACCUGAAUGUGUAACGAUUUAAUCAAUAAAUAAAUGUUGCAUACUGAA